CCGCCUAUCCCUAAUCAGCGGGAAAGAAAAAAAAAUCAUAAUCUCUCCUUCGCCGCCGCAUGAUCCUCGCCUGCUUCACGUGAUAGUCACGCCGGGCCCAAUCAAAUCCCACGCCGCCGGCUAUCCUCGUGCUGUUCUUGCCGGUGACCAUCAGGCAAGAUUCCAGACCCAGUCAAAUCUCACGUUGUCGGCCAUCCUCACGCUGUUCUUGCCAGAGAUCUUCAGGCGCACUGACGUGAGAACACACGAUGGGAAACCUGUACUCGGAAGCUCUAUUCUCAGGAUCUCAAUUUUAAUCCCAGCCAACUCUCAGAUUGAAAGAAAAACGAUUCACGUGGUUCUAGCUGUACAUGUGGUGUCAGUGCAGGAGGCAUCAAGGUCAGGUUUGAAGUAAUCAAGUAACAACGUUAAGGAUGUCGCCAAGGGCCUCUGGAUGACCUGAAAAUAAGGAGGAGAUAUUCAAUACAGAGUUAGAGGUGCAAUCACUGCAUCAGGGUUUGGAGAGUAAUUGGGUGUGCUACUGUGUAGCACCAGAUCAAGGAAAUCUCACGGAUACGUCUAGGCGAAGAUUUUUGCUCUUUUUUGGGGGAAUCUUGCAAUCUUUGAGUACAGGGCUAUUGCUUGGUUGCAGUGGGAACGAUCUAAUUAUUGUCAUACAAUCUGCAUGUACAAUCUUCUACCAAACCAUCGCUCAUUGUGGUGUAUUCUCUCCUUAGUCGACAUAACAAAAACCGAGUCCUGGGCACUAGAAAGAGAAAGGUCGUCGGUGAAGAGAUAAAAGAUGACACUUACUCAGGACUGUGGUGGAUAAUGCAGAGGUUUCAAACGGUCAACCUGAGCCAUGGGAGAAGGACCUGUAUGGCCAAUAUGCAUGCCCCAUAAACAACACAACUUGAAUCUCAUCAUUAGAGACAAGGCCAAGGACGAGAUUGAUCUUUUACUAAGGUACUAACAUUUUCGUUUGCUGCAUACACAGAAAUAAGGGUCCAAUAUUUUUGUAAACUAAAGAGACCACCCUACCUGUUUGUUUGUAACAAUAACUGAUAAUUACAGAUGUAGCAGACAUGUAAACUGCAGGUGCAGGCAUGUAAACUAGAGAAAAGGAGGAAUGUCCUUAAGUGUUAUUAG